GCCCGGCUAGCUCAAUCGGUAGAGCGUGAGACUCUUACAAAGUCACCUGACUAGGCAUCUCAAGGUUGCGGGUUCGACCCCCGCGUUGGGCU